GCGCCCGUAGCUCAGCUGGACAGAGCGGCAGUUUCCUAAACUGAAGGUCGCAGGUUCAAGUCCUGCCGGGCGUA
rnacentral:tRNA from 1 species